UCUUUAGUUUUUAAUUUAAGAUCGGGCCUGCCCAUUGAUUAAUAAAUUAAAAGGCUGCGGUAUUUUAACUGUACGAAGGUAGCAUAAUCACUUGUCUUUUAAUUGGAGGCUAGAAUGAAUGGUUUGAUGAAAAAUAAGCUUUCUUUUUUCAAUUAUAAUUGAACUUAAUUUUUUAGUUAAAAAGCUAAAAUUUUUUUAUAGGACGAGAAGACCCUAUAGAAGUUUACUUAAUUAGUAAUUUUUUAUUUUAUGUUUUUAAAAUAAUUUUUUAUAAAUUUAAGUUUUGUUGGGGUGACAUUAAAAUUAAUUUAACUUUUAAUUAUUUUUUCAUUAAUUAGUGUUUUUUUGAUCCAAAAUUUUUGAUUAUAAGUUUAACUUACCUUAGGGAUAACAGCGUAAUUUUUUCGGAGAGAUCAUAUU
rnacentral:rRNA from 1 species